AUUGUUCGCUGGCGGCAGGCUUAACACAUGCAAGUCGAGCGGUAGCACAGGGGAGCUUGCUCCCCGGGUGACGAGCGGCGGACGGGUGAGUAAUGUCUGGGAAACUGCCUGAUGGAGGGGGAUAACUACUGGAAACGGUAGCUAAUACCGCAUAACGUCGCAAGACCAAAGAGGGGGACCUUCGGGCCUCUUGCCAUCAGAUGUGCCCAGAUGGGAUUAGCUAGUAGGUGGGGUAAUGGCUCACCUAGGCGACGAUCCCUAGCUGGUCUGAGAGGAUGACCAGCCACACUGGAACUGAGACACGGUCCAGACUCCUACGGGAGGCAGCAGUGGGGAAUAUUGCACAAUGGGCGCAAGCCUGAUGCAGCCAUGCCGCGUGUGUGAAGAAGGCCUUCGGGUUGUAAAGCACUUUCAGCGAGGAGGAAGGUGGUGAGCUUAAUACGUUCAUCAAUUGACGUUACUCGCAGAAGAAGCACCGGCUAACUCCGUGCCAGCAGCCGCGGUAAUACGGAGGGUGCAAGCGUUAAUCGGAAUUACUGGGCGUAAAGCGCACGCAGGCGGUUUGUUAAGUCAGAUGUGAAAUCCCCGGGCUCAACCUGGGAACUGCAUUUGAAACUGGCAAGCUAGAGUCUCGUAGAGGGGGGUAGAAUUCCAGGUGUAGCGGUGAAAUGCGGUAAGAUCUGGAGCGAUACGCGGUGGCGAGGGGGNCCCCUGGUCGAAGACCUGCCCUCAAGGGCGAAACCGCGGGCACCAAAG
rnacentral:rRNA from 1 species